rnacentral:rRNA from 1 species
CCUACGGGAGGCAGCAGUAGGGAAUAUUGCUCAAUGGGGGAAACCCUGAAGCAGCAACGCCUCGUGGUGGAUGAAGGUUUUCGGAUUGUAAACUCCUUUUGUUAGAGAAGAUAUUGACGGUAUCUAACGAAUAAGCACCGGCUAACUCCUUGCCAGCAGCCGCGGUAAUACGGAGGGUGCAAGCGUUACUCGGAAUCCCUGGGCGGAAAGAGCGCGUAGGCGGGAGAGCAAGUCAGAUGUGAAAUCCUAUGGCUUAACCAUAGAACUGCAUUUGAAACUGUUGUUCUAGAGUAUGGGAGAGGUAGGGGGAAUUCUUGGGGUAGGGGUAAAAUCCGUAGAGAUCAAGAGGAAUACGCAUGGCGAAGGCGACCUGCUAGAACAUAACGGACGCUGAUGCGCGAAAGCGUGGGGAGCAAACAGGAUUAGAUACCCCUGUAGUC